rnacentral:lncRNA from 1 species
CUUCUUCUGGCGGAGCUCAGCCACCGCCUGGACCAUGGUGGAGCGCUUCUUCUCGUUGGCAAUCUUGAGAAGCUCCGACUGCGCCUUCUCCUUGGUGAUGGAGAGAUCCUCGGGCAGGGUCUCGGUGAGGGCGGAGAGGUCAGAGGAGCCAGAGCCGUCGGUGAGGCGCUUCUCGGCGUUCUUACGGAACAUGGACAUGCGCUUGUCCAUCGAGAUGUUGUUCUCGAUGUCGACGCCCUCCUCCUUCAUCUUGCGGAUGUCGGCGAUGGUGAGGGUGCCCAUGGCAAUCUGCGCCUGCAUGUCCUGGAGCAUCUUCUUGGAAGUGAUGCCCUUGAUGAUUUUCUGCGCAUCCGCGUCGGGGAGGGAGAGGCCCUGCUGGAUCUCCUUGAGCUUCUCGGCGCGGUCGGCGGUGAGGCCGCGGCCGUCGCCGAGAAUCUGCUCAGCCUGCGCGCGGUACGCCUUGUCGGCGAGGCCCUUGUGCACGGAGCCAACCUCAAACUGGUUGAGGCCGAGGAUGUCGCCGAGCUGGGAGAGGCGGGUAAACUCGGACUGGUCACGCUCGAUGGUAAUCUGCACGCCCAUGGGCGCGUUCACGGUGUCGCCCUGCAUGCAGAACAUGAGGUAGUCCUGGUAGAUACCCUGGGCGGUGACGCUGUCGACCUCGUCCUUGAGGUUGAUCUCCUUCUGGUAAGCUGGCUGCUCGACCUUGGCGGCGAUCUCCUCAGCCUCCUUCUUGUCCUCCUCAGCCUUCUUGUCCUCACCCUCCUCACCGUCAGCCUUGGCCUCGACGUCCUUCUUCUCCUCGCCGUCCUUGGCCUCCUCACCCUCCUCCUUCUUCUCCUCGGACUCAGCCUUGGCCUCAGCCUCCUUCUUCUCGUCCUCCUCCUCCUGCUUGGCCGCCGCCUGAGCCUCCUUGAGCAGCUCCGCGAGCUCCUUGGCGGCAUCCUCGGCAGCCGCCUUGGUCACGUCAGACACCAUGGGGGUGACCACGGUGCUGUUGAAGUAGACCAUCUUGCGAAUCUCCUUGCUCUGCUCGAUCUUGUUCUGCUUGGUGCGCGCGACGCGGAUGUACGCCAUGAACGCCUUGACAACCUCGUUCUUGAGAAUCUUGAGCGCCAUGUCAUCGGUGAGUCGCACGGCGUCCUUGGCGCGCUUGCACCUGUCGCGGAGCUCGGGGGUGAAGGACUCGGUGCCCACGGAGAGGGCGCUGAGCACGGCGGACUUGUAGACGGCGCCGCAGAUGUCCAUGGUGCACUCGUCGACGACAUCCUUGGGGACGCAGAGGAGGCGGCGGACGCGGCCGAGAGCCUCGACGUCUUCGUCGGUGAGCUUCUUCUUCUCCAUGACCUGCUCCAUCUUGGUGCGGUAGUUCUCCUUGUUGACAUCGGCGGCC